UACGUAGGUGGCGAGCGUUGUCCGGAUUUACUGGGCGUAAAGAGCGCGCAGGCGGUCGUUCAAGUCGCGUGUGAAAGCCCCCGGCUCAACUGGGGAGGGUCACGCGAUACUGAUCGACUCGAAGGCAGGAGAGGGAAGUGGAAUUCCCGGUGUAGUGGUGAAAUGCGUAGAUAUCGGGAGGAACACCAGUGGCGAAGGCGACUUCCUGGCCUGUUCUUGACGCUGAGGCGCGAAAGCUAGGGGAGCAAACAGG
rnacentral:rRNA from 1 species